UCGCUUUUACCUGUGGUCAACGGAGGGCAACUCGGACAACUAUUUUAUGGAUUCAUCUUACUACUCCCAGAAGUCCUGCAGUGGAGGGUGUACGUGUGAUCCGGAGUUGAAGGGGUGCUCGCAGUCAACUGUAAAUGUUCGCAAUUACGGAGUAGAGAAGUUGACCACAAACUCUUUCAGUUCUGGAAACCAAGAAAUAAACCUCAUCAAAAUGUCAUCUCUGAAGGUAAUUGAAGAAGAAAGCUUUUUCUCCGCAACAAGCUUAUAUAAAC